UGAUUAAGGCUCUCGAUUGGUGACCAGCGGAGGGAUCAUUAUCGAGUUACCGCUCCUUAUAACCCUUUGUGAACAUACCCCAAACGUUGCCUCGGCGGGCAGCCGGAGCCCAGCUCCGUCGCCCGGAGCCGCCGUCUCGGCGCGCCCCACCCGCCGGCGGACCACCAAACUCUAUUUAAACGACGUCUCUUCUGAGUGGCACAAGCAAAUAAUCAAAACUUUUAACAACGGAUCUCUUGGUUCUGGCAUCGAUGAAGAACGCAGCGAAAUGCGAUAAGUAAUGUGAAUUGCAGAAUUCAGUGAAUCAUCGAAUCUUUGAACGCACAUUGCGCCCGCCAGCAUUCUGGCGGGCAUGCCUGUUCGAGCGUCAUUUCAACCCUCAAGCACCGCUUGGCGUUGGGGCCCUACGGCUUCCGUAGGCCCCGAAAUACAGUGGCGGACCCUCCCGGAGCCUCCUUUGCGUAGUAACAUACCACCUCGCACUGGGAUCCGGAGGGACUCCUGCCGUAAAACACCCCAAUUUUCCAAAGGUUGACCUCGGAUCAGGUAGGAAUACCCGCUGAACUUAAGCAUAUCAUAAGCCGGAGGAA
rnacentral:rRNA from 1 species